UCAAGUGAAUAGAGUGCAAGGAAGCUCUUUGGGGUUGCUAGAGUCAAGAAAUCCCUUGGAAGUUGAAGAUUGGGUUUUCUUCAAGUGAAGUAUUGCCAACCAAAACCCGUUCCAACACAUUCAAAGGUGAGUUUUAUGAUUAUUCCAUGUUGUUUAAGGUAUUGAAAAGUUGAAACACUUGGAUUAUGGAAGAAGAGGGAAAAAAUAGGUUACAACAUAUGAGAUUAGUGGCAAUUGUGAGUAGUAGAUUGAUAUGAAUCAUGGAUAUUGAUAUGUUGUGAUUGUAAUUACGUUAUGAAUAAUGUUAAGAGUAUGAGAGAAACAUUAGAUGAGAAUGAAUGUAACGUUGUAUUAUGAUUAUGGAUGACCUUGAGAGGAAAUUGUGGGGAUUGUAUAAUGAUGAAUUUGACUAAAGUCAUUGAUGAUGAUAUUAUGAAUGUUAUUAUUGAUGUUUGGAAGUUGAUAUAUGAUAUGGAGAAAGUAGUAUAAAUAAAGGAGAUGUUGCUCAAAUUUCUCUAGCUUAGUUCAAACACGCUUAUGUUAAAGAUUAUCUAAUAUGAGUACGAACUUUCUUGAAGGUAGAAACGCGAGCAACGAAGAAGAACGAUCAAACGAUAGACUAGCUAAACGAAAGAGGUAUGUAAGGCUAAUCCUUUCCUUCUAAGGCAUGAAUCUUCCUAAUUUUUCCACAAUCUUCCUAAAUAACGUAAAUUUACGAGUCCAUGACUAUAAGAAGCCACUUAUGCACAUGAUAAAGAAAGGAGACACGAUAUGAGCAUGUUAAUGAUGAUGAUGAAUAUAACCAUGAAGAAUCCUAGAGUAAUAUAAGAUGUCCAUGAAGCUAAUGAUCCUAAGUAUAAUUCCAUUGAUGAUCUUCCUUGUGUACACUCACCUUAAAAUGCUAGUCCCUUCAAGGUGAGACAUGACGAUUAUAAUCAUUCCAUAACGUAGUCGGGGGUUCACGACCUCAUGUCACCCCGACAUAGCCACGGUUAUCUCCAAGUUUUAAUGUAGGAUUAAUGAUGAACGUAUGAUAACGCAAAGGCUAUGAUAAGGUCAUGAUAUGCCUACGAUAUGUAUGAUAAUGAUGAGUUUAUGUUAAUUAUGUGACGAUAUGAUUCCACCGUGCCUAGUUGGUCGGGCAUGUCACCGCGAAGGCGGGCUGCAUACGAUUCCACCGUGUCUAAAUGGCCGGGCAUGUCACCACUAAGGCGGGCUGCUACGUUUACACCGAUCCUAGAGGGUCGGGCAUGAUCACCACUAGUGGGCGGCUUAUGAUGGUUACCCGAACGCGGGUUAACGAUGAUGAUUUAUAUGAUACGAUGAUGUAUGCGCUAUGAUGAUACAUGUACUAUGGGUUAUAUAUAUGAUAUAUGUGUAAGAAAUGUAUCCACUCUUAAAAGUUACUCAGGGUUUAUCUUCACCUUCUGACUUAUGACUUCUCUAUCAUGUUCAGUUCAUUCAUGCCUUACAUACUCAGUACAAUAUUCGUACUGUCGUCCAUUUUCUUUGGACGUUGUAUUCAUGCCCACAGGUAGACAGGGAGGUGAUCCAGACUCAUAGAAGUUAUCAGCAGAUUUACAGGAGCACGCCAUUACUCCGGAGGUGCUAUUUGGUUUAUUCUUUUGUGUAUAUAUGCAUAUGUAUAUGUAUUUUGGGAACGACGGGGUCUUGUCUCGUCCAUAUGUCUAGUACUCUAGUAGAGACUCGUAGAUACGCAUGUGUGGGUAAUGUGGUCUCACGAUGUUACUAUUGUAUCUAUGUAUUAUUUUGAUAGCCGAAGGGCUUAUGUAUAUAAAAGUAAUUAUGCUCCCAAAUGAAAAAUGGUUUUCCUAUGAUUUGAGUAUUAUAUCAAUGAAUGUACGCUCAAUGAGUAUGAUAACCAAUAGAACGAGUGGUGCUCGGUGGUUAGCCCCAGGUACCCGUCAUGGCCCCUAGUCGGGUCGUGACAUGUUCCCGUUCUAGUCUAUGCGUAGUCAUUUCAGGCCAGUGGCAGCUCAGCUGGACAGUCACCUACGUUUACGCCGACGCUCCUACUUGAUGAGAUACUUGGGUCUUCAUCUCAGCCGAGCCAGAAUGCGUAUAUGAAGGAGCGUGAUGACGUCGAUUGAGCGGCGUUACGCUCUUCAUUAGCUAAUAAGCGGCCUGUGAGGAAUUUAGACGGACCUAGGAUUCUUGACUUCAAAGACUUUUUAAUCCCGGAUUCGGCGCCAGUUGAUCCACAAGAGCGACCCACUCAGGCGUUUUCUCAUGGGCCUGCCGAGCUAGCGGUGUCUUCCCAUGUGACUGUCGAGCCAUAGGAUUCGGCGCCAGUGGGUCCACAGGAGCGACCCAUUCAGGAGCCUACUCAUGAGCCUGCCGAGACAGAGGUGUCUUCUGAUGAGACUAUCGAGCCACAUGU